rnacentral:rRNA from 1 species
AUUGAACGCUGGCGGCAGGCCUAACACAUGCAAGUCGAGCGGAUGAAGGGAGCUUGCUCCUGGCUUCAGCGGCGGACGGGUGAGUAAUGCCUAGGAUUCUGCCUGGUAGUGGGGGAUAACGUCCGGAAACGGGCGCUAAUACCGCAUACGUCCUGAGGGAGAAAGUGGGGGAUCUUCGGACCUCACGCUAUCAGAUGAGCCUAGGUCGGAUUAGCUAGUUGGUGGGGUAAAGGCCUACCAAGGCGACGAUCCGUAACUGGUCUGAGAGGAUGAUCAGUCACACUGGAACUGAGACACGGUCCAGACUCCUACGGGAGGCAGCAGUGGGGAAUAUUGGACAAUGGGCGAAAGCCUGAUCCAGCCAUGCCGCGUGUGUGAAGAAGGUCUUCGGAUUGUAAAGCACUUUAAGUUGGGAGGAAGGGCAGUAAGUUAAUACCUUGCUGUUUUGACGUUACCAACAGAAUAAGCACCGGCUAACUUCGUG